AAGCCCCAUUUUGAAAUCUCGAACCAGACGCAUAGAACGCGCGAGUUACUUUCGCGUAACAUGAUUUUCGAAUUUGAACAGUUAUGAAUAUACUUAAUUACGGAGAAAUGAUAAUUUGUGAAAGCUUUUAUUUUACGUCGUUAAAAUAUAACAGCUUAACUUCAAUUAUUGUUAGAAGAAUUACAUUUUUAAGUCAUGUUACGAAUCGACCUUAAGAUAACCUCUUCACUAAUUUAUACAAAUAUCGGCAUUUCAAAAUGUAAUUAUAAAUAAUUCAUUUAUUUUGUAUACUUUGAAUAUAGUGAUGCGUACGUUUAGUGUAGUUUAUAAAAUUUUAUAUUAAACAGGCAAGAUGUUACUAUUAAUUUAAACGUCAAGAAUUUUAUAACGGUAUGAUUUAAUUAAAUAUCAUCACCAUGAAUGAGGAAAGAAGUGUUGAAGAUUCUUCAUAUUUAAGUUAUGAAAUAAAUGGCACUAGAUAUAUUUUACAAACUGUAUCAGAUCCAGCUAUAGAUAUAUCAAAAGCUGUAUCAACCACUCAAGAACAAAAUACAAUUAAUCUUAUAAAUGAACCACAAGUAGAAAAAGAUGAUGAAUCAAUUUCUUUAAUUUGCUUAGAUGGUCAGGUUUAUGCGUUUCAUAAUGGAGAAUUACAAGAAUUAGAUUUUAGUCAAGUAAUAGAUGAAAAUGAAUCACAAGAAAAAACAGUGUUGCUACCUAAAGAAGAUGAUAAUUGUGAACCACAGUAUAUUACCAACGAAGGAUUAGUAAUUGGAAAUAUUGAUGAACAUUCUCAAGAACAAUAUGAAAUUAUUACUGGUCAAAAUGAAAAAAAUUUUAUAAUGGAGAAACAUAAUGUAAAUGCUAAUGAUUUUGUGGAAGUUGUAACAGCAUUUAAAUGUAAGAUAUGUACUUAUACCACUCAAGACAAAACACAAUUAUUACAGCAUUUUCAGAAAACGCAUGUAAAUCCUAAAGUGGAUAUAGAGAUAAAAGAAGAAUCUAAGAUUACAGAUGAAGUAAAAUUGUUAUAUAUGUGUGGAGAAUGUUCUAAUUGCUUUCCUUCUAUUGAAGAUUGUAAAGAACACAUGAUAAACGAUCAUCAAUUAACAGACACAGGAGCCAAUAGAGGUGGUAAAGAAAAUAUAACAGAUGAUUCAAAAGAUUCUGGGUUAUUAGAGUGUAUAGGACAGAGUGUUGAAAGUAAUGAUAUAAAACGUCAAGUUAAAAUUCAAAAACCUCUAAAUUCUGAAUAUAUGCUCAAUAAAAAAAUGAUCGAAUUAAUGGAAAGAAACAUAAAGUGUUCAUAUAGAGGAUGUCCAUACAAAUUUUGUACAGAGGAAACAAUGCAGCAACAUGCACUUUGUCAUACGGAAUCACAAAAUGGAACAGCAUUUAAAUGUAGCGUUUGCCGUGAUAUGAAAUUUACCAAAUGGAGACAGUGUAGCUUACAUUUAUGGAAAAAGCAUCAAAUUGACAUAGGAUUAUUUACUUGUAAAAUAUGUAAAGCAUAUAAAAGUGCAACAAUGGUCAAACUUUUAACUCAUAUGCGUGUGCAUAGUGAGACACGCGAGUAUGAAUGUUCAGAAUGUGGUAAAUGUUUUAAACAAGCCAGUCAAUUGCGUAAUCAUAGAGUUAUGCAUUUGGAUCGCAAAACAUUGGAAGUAACGCGGUGGUAUACUUCAAAAAAAUGUGAUAUGUGUGGAAAAACUUAUGCUAAUUCCAAAUGCUUGAAGAGUCAUAUUCAAGCAGUCCACUCAAAAUUGCGACCAUAUGUUUGUAAUGUUUGUGGACAUUCUAGCGCUAGAAAAGCAAUGUUGCAAAUGCAUUUACGACAACACACUGGUGACAAACCCUUUAGUUGUGAACUUUGCGAAUAUAAAACAGGUGAUCACAAUACGUUACGACGUCAUAUUAUGCAACACACAGGUUUUAGACCUUAUAAAUGCCCUCAUUGUUCUUAUACAGCAAUACAAAGUAGUAGUUAUAAAAAUCAUUUGAAAUCUAGACAUCCUUUACUUUCUGGUUUAUUUACAUGUGACCUAUGUCCUUUCAAAACUGUUAAAAAUCAAAGUUAUAUACAACAUGUAAGAGACCAUGAAAAGGGAUUAAUCAAAGCGAAUAUGCAAAAAAAAGAUAGUGAAAAUGUCGAAGUUUUUCCUGGUAAUAUUGCGGCGGCACAAUUGAUUUAUAGUUGCUUAGGUGCCUUUUCAAAAGUGGGCGAUACUUUAGAAGCAAAUUUAAUGUCUUCCUCAACGUCUGCAGACGGUACAUCACAAACGAUUACGAUACAGAUACCAUCGAAACAUCUUGAAGGUUCACUGCCAACAAGAGAAUGUAGAACUAAAAGUAACUCAGCAAUUGAACAAGAAGAUGAAGAAACAAUGCAUUGUUUUUUAAAAAUUCCAAGAGAAGAGGAAGAAAGUAUAGACACAGGUGGUAUAACUAUACCUGCAGAACCUGAGGAAUCAGGCGCAACAACUAUUAAUGUUGAUACAUGAAAUACGGAAUAUUAAGUUGCUAAUUAAAAUAUUCCUGUAUAUUUGAAAACUCCUAGAAAUUUAUACUUCAAAGUAAAUGAAGAAAUGCUAGUCACACGUUACUUAGAAGCAACUGAUGUGGAUCUUCCCGGAAAUUACACCUUGUAUCACAACUAACAGUCUCUGGGCAGUUCGCCAUAAUAAGCUGUUAAAGCUAUUAGCUUUCUGUCAAGAAAGUUUUGUUCCACUUCUACACCACCACCUACUGCGGCUAACAUGGCAAGCUGUAAAUUUGUAUAUAUAUAAAUAAAAGCAAUUGAUGUAUAGUGCGUUAUAAAGUAAAGUAACAUAGAAUAU